UGCAUAAUAAUAAGCGGAGGAAAAGAAACCAACAGGGAUUGCCCCAGUAACGGCGAGUGAAGCGGCAACAGCUCAAAUUUGAAAUCUGGCCCCCGGGUCCGAGUUGUAAUUUGCAGAGGAUGCUUCGGGCGAGGUGCCUUCCGAGUUCCCUGGAACGGGACGCCACAGAGGGUGAGAGCCCCGUCUGGUCGGACACCGAGCCCGUGUGAAGCUCCUUCGAAGAGUCGAGUAGUUUGGGAAUGCUGCUCAAAACGGGAGGUAUAUGUCUUCUAAAGCUAAAUAUUGGCCAGAGACCGAUAGCGCACAAGUAGAGUGAUCGAAAGAUGAAAAGCACUUUGAAAAGAGGGUUAAAAAGUACGUGAAAUUGUUGAAAGGGAAGCGCCCAUGACCAGACUUGGGCCCGGUGAAUCACCCGGCGUUCUCGCCGGUGCACUUUGCCGGGCACAGGCCAGCAUCAGUUUGGCGCGGGGGAGAAAGGCUUCGGGAACGUGGCUCCCUCGGGAGUGUUAUAGCCCGCUGCGCAAUACCCUGCGCCGGAACUGAGGUACGCGCAUCGCAAGGAUGCGGCGAAGGCCCACCCUUG
rnacentral:rRNA from 1 species